CUCGUAGGCGGUUCGUCGCGUCCGGUGUGAAAGUCCAUCGCUUAACGGUGGAUCCGCGCCGGGUACGGGCGGGCUUGAGUGCGGUAGGGGAGACUGGAAUUCCCGGUGUAACGGUGGAAUGCGUAGAUAUCGGGAAGAACACCAAUGGCGAAGGCAGGUCUCUGGGCCGUUACUGACGCUGAGGAGCGAAAGCGUGGGGAGCGAACA
rnacentral:rRNA from 1 species